CUGUGGGCUGCGGGGAGCCGGAGGCCUCUUGAUUGGCUCUUUGACGCUUUCGGACCAAUUGUGUUGCUGCAUAGGCGUGGUUUUCACAGGUCGAGUGCUGGGGGAUAGAGCCGAGUUAUAAAAGGAAGGUGUCGGAAACUGUAACGUCGCAGCGCCGCAUCGGUACUACUGCCCGUCCUGUGAAUAUGUCAACAUGAUCAGAGGGAGGGCGGGGAGCCACUGGGGAGCGCGCGCAGAGUCGCCUCUAGGUGGCUUAUCGAGAGAUCGCCGCAGCCCCUGAGCUCGCUCGCCUGCGCUGGCUCGGCCCACGUCUGAAAUGCCUCAGUCAUCCAGCCGGGGAUCGAGGGAGGAGGCAGGGCCCGGGAGGAAGGGGGAGGAGGAGGGAGCGAGCGCGCCGGGCCAGGAAGGCGGAGAGCGCGCCGGGCGCCGGGCAGGGGCGCUCGCUUCUCGCGCGCUCGGCUCGCCUCUCGUCUCCGGGCCGCCGCCGCCGCUUCCCUGUGCGGCUCACCCGCUCCCUGCGGCCCCGGCAGGGCCAGGCGGACGGCCGAGUGCCCCGCGAGCUGCCAUUCCGCCGCCGGGCGCCGCACAAGGCGGCAGCGGCGGAGAGGCGAGCGCCGAGACUCCGGCCUUGCGCGCUCUCCAGCCCCACGUGGAGCCAAGCUCCGCCCGGCCGCCGCGGAAGGGCUCCCGAGCUCGGGGGGCUCUCGGCGCCGGGCUCCCGGCAUCCGGGCUCGUGGGCUCCCGGGCAGACGUGGGCCGGGGGCGCCCUCUGGCCCGGGCCCCACCCGAGACCGUGGGCGGAGACCCAGACGCCCCGGCACUCCUGCGCGCGGACUCGCGCGGGCACCCUGGGACCCAGCCACCCGCGGGAAAACACGUACACGCAAACACGUACACAGCCCGCGCCGCCGGCCCUGGUGUUGCUCCCCGAGGGAGCCGGACUCGGGGUUUUUGAAAUGCAUUUACCAGCCCUUUUUAAGUCUUGUCUAAUAUCUGAAUCCGGGCUCCCCGAGAGUUCCGCCUGACUGUGUGCGUGAGUGUGGAGCAGAGAAUGGAGACCCGGACAGAAGGAGCGCCGCGAGGGACUAGGUUCUGGGCCUGCCCCCGCGGAGCCGCUGUCCUCACCUCCCCGGGCCGCGGGCGAGCUGGGAGGGGGAGGCGCGCCCUCCUGGUAUAAUCUCCAGGCGUCGCACUUAUCUCUCCGUGCACCCGGGGACUUAUCUCACCAGAAGUCGGGGGUGAAUUUGUAGAACAAACCGUGAUACGCCCCCACCCCAGAGGCGAGGUGACUGUUCCAGUUCAGUCCAGCAGAAAUGAAUUCAUGAGGAAGAGGCCGGGGAAUUUUUCCUCCCGUCUUAUCUGACCCAGAAUCAGCAAGACGCAGGCCAGAGCUGGAUUGGCCCUCAGGCACUUUGACCACCCAACACCUUUGUUUAUUCAACAUCCUCUUUCCAGAUUUUCAGUCCAGACAGCUCUGUCUCUGCUUCCAUCUCUCACUCCCUCAAUUGCACAUGGAAUCCGGACUCUGAAGUGGAGGUCAGAACGUGCAUGUGCCGCCUCCCGCCAGGGUGCGAGCCACGGAAGCAAACCCGAGUGGAUCGGUGCCCUCCCUGCCGUGCCCACCGCCCAGGCCCUUCCCAAGCCGCCUCCAGAAGGUCCUAGACUCCCGGAUGAUUUCGGUGAACGUGUGCUUUCCCAACGCAGCCCCGACCCGCACUUUUCCUUCCUUCUUUGGCCGACUUGGCCGACUUUGGCUUCCCCCGCGGCCCAGAGGUGCCUGCGCCGUGCUUGGCUGGCCUCCCGUCUCUCGGAGGAGGCCCGGGACUGCGGUUUCCGCUCGCCACAAACCUGCCUGGCGCCCACGCAGCAGCCUGGCCAGCUUCCCGCUCGCGCUCGGCGCCAACCGCUCUGGGCCUCAGUUUCCCCGCUGCUUUGCGGUUGGCGACGUGCCGGCCACACGGUUGGAGGAGGAGGAAUGGAGAAUGGCUUGGUUGGUGGUGGGAGCGCAGUUGCUGCGUGUGAAGGGGCGGGGGGUCCAGACGAACCCUGCUUCUUUUCCCGCUCCCGUUCACCGCGGACUUCUACCCACCUCCGCGCCCAGAAGAGGAGACGAAACGCUGCUGCCGUCUCGCUUGCCACCCUAGGAAUGGAGCCCACCAACGCCAGGACCCCAGUCUUCUCUGAGGGCCCCCCACAGCCUGCCUGAGCUCGGUCGGCAGUGGGGGGUGCCGGGCUGUAGGCAGGGCAAGCUUGGUCCUGGCCAGCAGGUGCACGCUUGGGGGUGCGCGGAGCAGGUUCCCGUGUGGCUGCCGGCUCCGCGGGGAUGGCACUGCUGCUGCUGGCCUGGGGACAUUUGCAGACCCAGCUGUGGUUCACCGAGGCUGUGUUGACACACCUCCUGCUGAGCUUUGAGAGGUGGCCUAUCAGAGCCUUAGACCUUCCUAUGAGUCCAUUGGCCCUUCUAAGCCUCAGUUACCUCCUCUGAAAACCAGGAUAACAGGUCCUGCCACAGAGGACAUGGCAGGGGCGAAAUGACAUCGGGUGCGUACAUUGCUCAGCCACACCUUGGCCCAUAAUAAGUGCUCAUUAAACAUUAGCUGUUUGGACCCCUGAACUCUCUGGGCGCAGUCUAUUCAUCUCAUCUACUUU